GACAGAGGCCUCAAGCGUUAGGCGGAAUCACUGGGCUUAAAGCGUGUGUAGGCGGAUCGUUAAGUGUCUUGUGAAAUCCCACGGCUCACCCGUGGAACUGCUGGGCAUACUGGCGAUCUUGGGCCAACUAGGGGCAACUGGAACAAGCGGUGGAGCGGAUGAAAUGCGUAGAUAUCGCUUGGAACGCCAAAGGUGAAAACAGGUUGCUGGGGUUGUGCCGACGCUGA
rnacentral:rRNA from 1 species